rnacentral:rRNA from 1 species
AACCUGGGAACUGCAUUCGAAACUGGCAGGCUAGAGUCUUGUAGAGGGGGGUAGAAUUCCAGGUGUAGCGGUGAAAUGCGUAGAGAUCUGGAGGAAUACCGGUGGCGAAGGCGGCCCCCUGGACAAAGACUGACGCUCAGGUGCGAAAGCGUGGGGAGCAAACAGGAUUAGAUACCCUGGUAGUCCACGCCGUAAACGAUGUCGAUUUGGAGGUUGUGCCCUUGAGGCGUGGCUUCCGGAGCUAACGCGUUAAAUCGACCGCCUGGGGAGUACGGCCGCAAGGUUAAAACUCAAAUGAAUUGACGGGGGCCCGCACAAGCGGUGGAGCAUGUGGUUUAAUUCGAUGCAACGCGAAGAACCUUACCUGGUCUUGACAUCCACAGAACUUUCCAGAGAUGGAUUGGUGCCUUCGGGAACUGUGAGACAGGUGCUGCAUGGCUGUCGUCAGCUCGUGUUGUGAAAUGUUGGGUUAAGUCCCGCAACGAGCGCAACCCUUAUCCUUUGUUGCCAGCGGUU